CUGCACCCUGAUAGCAGACUACUCCGAUCCGGAUCCGUUUUACCUCCGGCAGAUCCGCGCUACAGUCAGGUCUGUUUAGUGGAUCUGGUCCGGCUUCACUCCGGGUUCGGGUUAUGAUUGUGACUCACGUUCAGAUCCGUUUUACUGACGGUAAAUCCGCAUAACAGUCCGUCUCAUUUCACGCCUUCCAUAUGACUUCGGCACGGAGUCAGAUACCAGAUGUGAGUUCAGUGUCAGCUCAGUGUCGUUUUGCGGAUCCGGGCCGCAUCGGCGGAGCGGCACAGGAGCGGGAGAAAUUCAAACUCAGCGCGAGGACCAACUGACAUCUGCUGAAUCUGCGCUUCAGGGCUGCUGAGGGCUGGGGACCUGAGAUAAGGUGUAAUCAUUUACCCAUCAAAUCACCUAACAAGCAGGAUUUGGUAUCCGCAAAAUGGUUCGAGGUCCUCAGCCCUCGCCUCCCCCAGCACAGAGGAAAACUACCAAGGGCGGUACUCUCAUUAUAGGAGAUUCAAUUGUUAGACAUUUAAAAGUAUCUAAGAGUAAUGGCACAAUUUCAUGUCUUCCAGAUGCUUGCAUGCUGGUAGUCGGCAAGCGGCUCCCUGGGGCGCAUUGCCAAAGCAGGAACCCCGGCACCAUCGCCCUCCAUGUGGGGAUGAGCUUUCGGGAGCGACCGGCCCCAUUCCACAGAGACAGGCUUCUCUCUGUGAACAUCGAGGCGGUGCUACGCUGAGACUGACUGUCUCUACCCAGUCACACCAGCCAAGUAGGCUGCACUGUAGUGGUGUUAAGUGUCCAAGAAUGCUCUCAUCAGUGGAGGCACAGCUGGCUGCAAAAAACGUCUGUGUCUGCAUGUUUAUAUUAUGUGAAUUAAAAAUGGUUUUAUUAUUAAAAUAAUUGUAUUAAUGCCUGUUGAUUUAUAAAUUGUUUAAUUGAAAUCAAAAUUUAUUUAAGUAGCUUAAUUAAGUAUUGCAUUUAUAAGUGAUGGUAUUUUAUUUUAAUUAGCUUAAGUAUUGCAUUUAUAAGUGAUGGUAUUUUAUUUUAAUUAGCUUAAGUAUUGCAUUUAUAAGUGAUGGUAUUUUAUUGAAUUAGCUUAAUUAAUAUUGCAUUUAUAAGUGAUGAUAUUUUAUAUAAUUAGCUUAAUUAAGUAUUGCAUUUAUAAGUGAUGGUAUUUUAUUUUAAUUAGCUUAAGUAUUGCAUUUAUAAGUGAUGGUAUUUUAUUGAAUUAGCUUAAUUAAUAUUGCAUUUAUAAGUGAUAUUUUAUAUAAUUAGCUUAAUUAAUAUUGCAUUUAUAAGUGAUGAUAUUUUAUAUAAUUAGCUUAAUUAAGUAUUGCAUUUAUAAGUGAUGGUAUUUUAUUUAAUUAGCUUAAUUAAGUAUUGCAUUUAUAACUGAUGGUACUUUCAUUAAUUAGCUUAAUUAAGUAUUGCAUAUAUAAGUUAUGGUAUUUUAUUUAAUUAGCUUAAUUAAGUAUUGCUUUUAUAAUUAUUGUAUUUCAUUUAGCUAACCUAAUUAAGGAUUGCAUUUACAACUAAUGUUUUUUUUAUUAUAUUAUUUAAAUAUUGCAUUUGUAAUUUAAUGUACUGUAUUAAACUCUUUUAAUUUAUCAAUGUAAAAAGAAGUCAAAUAGCUUAGUGCUCUUUCUUUACUACUUUUAUUUUGAAAUAUGUCAUUAUAAUCAGUAAUAAGUAGGCUGGGGAACGUGAAAAGGCCGUGGCUUGGCCGUAGCUAAUACGGAACUAAUCCGGGGCUGAUCCAGAUCUGGUCCAGAUCUGUAACGGACCUGUUCCAGCGAGUGUAACGGUAAGCGGAUCCGGCCCAUAUUCGGUCUAAAGGAACACCUGAAACGCUUGGUCUGGACUGGUGCUGGCCCAGUAUCUUUUUGACUCCGUAAAACGGAUCCGUGACGGUUUUGGCCCGUUGUGCAUCUGGACCCCGGCCCAGAACCGUUUUACGGAUCCGGCGCGGAACUUGUGAUAGACUCGGCCCGGAUCCGGCCAGAAUGCUUUUUGCUAUCUGGGCAGCC